rnacentral:rRNA from 1 species
CGGCAACAGCUCAAAUUUGAAAUCUGGCUCUUUCAGAGCCCGAGUUGUAAUUUGUAGAGGGUGCUUUGGCAACGGUUCCGGUCUAAGUUCCUUGGAACAGGACGUCACAGAGGGUGAGAAUCCCGUACGUGAUCGCGGAUCGUUGCCAUGUAAAGCCCCUUCGAC